CGAGGCUGGCUCGCCUGCGGUCCCGGCGUACCAUUGGUGGAGGCUGGCUGUCAUCAUCACCAUCUUCAUGCCGUAGGGUCGUCUGGGGAAAGACAUGACAGGUUGUAAAGUGAGAGGUGUCUUUGGGAAACUGUCUCCAUGCCCUGCUCCUCCAGACCAUCUACCAUAUCAUAAAAUGAAUCCUGGUCGGGCAGUGCUGCAAGAGUCUGCAAAAAGAAAGGAGACGUCGUCAAGAUAGGUGAUGGCUUGGAUCAGCAGUGGCGCGUUGGACUCUGAGUACUCCACAAACACCAGCAACAGCUUCAAAGCUGUUUUCACCACCAGACGGAACUACGGUGGAAAUAUAAAGAAACUUGCAUAAAGUAUGG